CGGGAGGGGUGGAUUGGAACGGGUGGGUAUGGGGCAGGCGGACGUGGGCUGAUAGACAUGGGGUAGGUGGACAGGGGACAGAUGGACAUGGGACAGAUGGACACAGCAUGCAUGAAUAUGGAUAGACUGACAUGGGAUGGAUGGAUACAGGGCGGGUGGACACGAGGUGGGAUGACGUGGGACGGGCAGACAUAGGAUGGAAGGGUAUGGAUAGAUGGACGUGGGACAGGUGGACACUGGGUGGAUAUGGGAUGGGCAGACAAGGGGUGGUGGAUGGACAUGGGUGGACAGAUAUGGGAUGGAUGGAAUAUGGGAUGGGCAGACAUGGGAUGGAUGGACAUGGGAUGGACAGAUAUGGGAUAGGUAGAAAUGGGAUGGAUGGAUAUGGGAUGGACAGACAUGGGAUGGAUGGACAUGGGAUGGACAGAUAUGGGAUGGACAGAUAUGGGAUGGAUGGGCAUGGGAUGGACAGAUAUGGGAUAGGUAGAAAUGGGAUGGAUGGAUAUGGGAUGGACAGACAUGGGAUGGAUGGACAUGGGAUGGACAGAUAUGGGAUGGACAGAUAUGGGAUGGAUGGGCAUGGGAUGGACAGAUAUGGCAUGGGUAGAAAUGGAUGGAUAUGGGAUGGAUGGACAUGGGAUGGAUGGAAUAUGGGAUGGGCAGACAUGGGAUGGAUGGAUAUGGGAUGGAUGGAUGGAUAUGAAUGGAUGGGUAGGCAUUGGGUGGACCUGCGAUGGGUGGACAUGGGAUGGAUGGUAUGGGAUGGAUGGAUAUGGGAUGGAUGGGUAUGGGAUGGAUGGACACAGUGGAUGGAUAGAUAUGAAGGGAUGGGUAGACAUUGGGUGGACUUGGGAUCGGUGGACAUGGGAUGGAUGGGUAUGGGAUGGAUGGACAUGGGAUGGAUGGGUAUGGAAUGAUGGAUAUGGGCUUGAUGGAUAUGGGAUGGAUGGACAUGAAAAGCUAACAAGGGCCAGAUGGACGUGGGGGGGUGGCCCAGCACCCCACCUCCCUCCUCGCACCCAUCAGUGCUGCGGUACCCCCACCCAGCACCCACCCGCCCCAUCCCCGCACCCCCCGUGCCCCACAUCCCCCUCCCCACGGCGCCCAUCCAUGCUGGCUUUUCCGGCCCAGCUGUCCCGCGGGGCGCGGGGGCCGGGGCAGGAAUUCGGCCGGGGCUGAGCAGCGCGCGGCAGCUCCGGAGACAGAGCAGCCUCUGAAUGCAGGGAAUGUUUUUGCAGCUGGAGUCCAUUAGGGGAGGGCUCGGCGGCUUUAUUAAUCCCAGCCUUAUUGCUCAAGAGGCGCGGGAGGGCAGGGGGAGCGCGGGGUGCGCGCAGGGGGGGAGAGCGGCCGUGAGGGGGGGUGUGGGGGGCAUAAAGAGCAGUGAGUGUGCGAGGAGGGUCUCCCUGACGACGGCCGUCCCUCCGCCGCGGGGCUUUUCUGCACCACGGAGGCUGCCCCUCUGCAGAGGUUUCCCCGCAGUGGAGGUUUCCCCCGUUAUGGAGCCGUCCCCGUGACGGAGGUUUCCCCAUCACUGAGGUUCCCCCACGGUGGGGUUCCCUCUAUGGCAGAGGUUCCCCCGUUCUGGGCACUCCCGCACGGCAGAUGGUGGAAAUAUCCUCCUGGUGAAGGUCUCCCCAAUCGCGGAGGUUCCUCCCUGCUGGAGGUGUCCCCACAGCGGAGGUUUGUCCUACAGUGGAGCUUUCCUCCUUGAUGGAGCCUUCCCCGCUGAUGGACGUUCCCCCAUUAUUGAGGCUCCCCCACGAUGGAGGCUUCUUCACAGUAGGGUCCCACCGAGAUGGAGGUCCCCCAUCGGUUUCCCCGUGACAGAGGUUUCCCAUAACCGGGGUUCCCCUGUGGUGGAGGUUUCCCCAUUAGGGAUGUUUCCCCGUCACUGAGGUUUCUCUGCAAUGGAGGAUCCCAUUGAUGGAGGGUCCCCUUAACGGAGCUUCCUCCCAUGAUGGAGGCUCCACUGAUGGAGGUUCCCCCAUUGAUAGAGGUUCCCCCAUUGAUGGAGGUACUCCCCAUAAGCGCGGUUCCCACUGACUGAGGUUCCCACUGAUGGAGGUUCCCAUUGAUGGAGGUUCCCCCAUUGAUGGAGGUUCCUAUUGAUGGAGGUUCCCAUUGAUGGAGGUUCCCCCAUUGAUGGAGGUGCUCCCCAUGAGCGCGGUUCCCACUGAUGAAGGCUCCCAUUGAUGGAGGCUCCCCAGCGCAGCCCCCCACCCUGGCAGGCUAUGGGGCAGAGCAGCACCGGGAGGAGAAGCAGUGGGGCAGCGGUGUCGGGUUUGUGCAGACGUGGAGCUGUGUGUGGGGCUGAGCCCCCCGCGCUGCCCCCCGCCUGCGCUCCCCUUCCUCUGCUUUGAUUUCUCAUUUCUCUUUUCUUGUUUCUUUUUAUGAUUUUUCCUUUCUUUUUUUUUCUUUUUCUUUGUUUCAUUUCCCCCCUUUUCCUCUUUCUUUUUAUUUAUUCUUUUUCCUCUCUUUUCCUUUUUCUCAUUUCUUUUGGCUUUUCCUUCUUUUCCUUUUUCUUCCUCAUUUUUCCUUUUGUUGCUUUUUCUUUCCAUCUUUUUUUCCUUUUUUUCCUUUCUUUCCUUUUUUCUUUUCUCACUUUUUUAGUUAUUUUCCUCUAUUUUUUCUGGUUUCUUCUUUCCUUUGAUUUUAUUUUUAUUUUUCUCUCUUUUUUUUCCCAAUUUUCUCUCCGUUUUUCUUUUUCCCAAUUUUUCUUCCCCCCCCUUUUUUCCCUCUGUUUUUUCUUCCUCCCUCUCCCUCCUCUUCCUCCCCCCCCCCCGCUCCUUUCUCUCUCUCUCCCAUUUCUCUCCGUCCCCCUCCCCAUUUUCCUCCCCUCCUCCAAAGCCGCUCCGCCAUAGCGGUGUCUCCGCACCCCAAACCCAACGGCGCACACCGCCCGUCCCGCCCCACCCCCGUUCGUUCCCGCAGCCCCACCUGCGCCCCCCCCGACCCCAAACGGCUGCAGCGGAGGAACGAAACGCCCCCGAUCGGAACCUCCGUGCCGAACUGCGGG
rnacentral:lncRNA from 1 species